GACGAACGCUGGCGGUGUGCUUAACACAUGCAAGUCGAACGGUAAGGCCCUUUCGGGGGUACACGAGUGGCGAACGGGUGCGUAACACGUGAGUAACCUGCCCUCAUCUCUGGGAUAACAGUCGGAAACGGUUGCUAAUACUGGAUAUGAGCUUGCAAGGCAUCUUGUGGGUUGGAAAGAUUUUUUUUGGUUGGGGAUGGACUCGCGGCCUAUCAGCUUGUUGGUGAGGUAGUGGCUCACCAAGGCUUCGACGGGUAGCCGGCCUGAGAGGGCGACCGGCCACAUUGGGACUGAGAUACGGCCCAAACUCCUACGGGAGGCAGCAGUGGGGAAUAUUGCACAAUGGACGGAAGUCUGAGGCAGCAACGCCGCGUGCGGGAUGACGGCCUUCGGGUUGUAAACCGCUUUCAAUUGUGACGAAGCUUUUUUGUGACGGUAGCAGUAGAAGAAGCACCGGCUAACUACGUG
rnacentral:rRNA from 1 species